rnacentral:sRNA from 1 species
UUUAGAUGGCUAUCGGUACACGAACCUUUAUAUUAUUGGAAAUACUUGUUACAGCGUCUGUAUUCAAGGGGUUUGUCAAUGCAGACAUUGAUUUUUCUUCACUUCACGUAAUAUCAGAAGUACGCCUGCCGAAAGAAGUUUUGCCUCUCAACUAUGAAGUCCUCAUUGAACCCCAUAUUAGUAACCAUAACUUUGAGGGAUCAGUAAAAAUUCACUUAAGGUGGAUUACAGAUUCAAAAAAGGUGAAUUUCCAUGCACAUGACAGUUUACUGAUCGAUUACAGACAAAUUAAAUUAAAUAGGAUAAAUAUGGGAGAUGGGACUUUGGGCGACAGUGUAAUAAUUUUAAGGGGCAUCCGACUGCCUCGAAAGCCUGUAUUUGUUUUAUACCUAAAGGACAAAAUCAAAAAGGAUACUGAAUGUCUUUUAGAAAUUUAUUUUAAAGGAAAUAUUUCAGAAACUGAGAAAGGCCUCUUUAGAAGCUAUUAUAUCAAUUCUGGCAACGAAGACAGUGAUAUAUAUUUAGCAACCAACCUUAAUCCCAACUAUGCACGUCGAUUAUUUCCAUGUUUUGAUGAACCUGGAAUAAAGGUCCCAUUUAAUGUGUCAAUUGCAAGACCUAAAGGAUAUACAACACUCUUUAAUACGCCUCUGCACAAUUCAAUAAAUCAG